GGCGCGUUCGGCUACCGGUAGGCCACCGGACUUUCAAUCCGGGAGGAACGGGUUCGAAUCCCGUACGCGCUA
rnacentral:tRNA from 1 species